rnacentral:misc_RNA from 1 species
AACGCACAUUGCGCUUUCUGGUAUUCCGGAGAGCAUGUCUGUUUGAGAAUCAGUUUAACCAUCAUACCUUUUUUUAUUGAGAGUGUAUGGAAAUGAGAUAUGUUGUUGUAAUAACAACCGUCUUUAAAUUUAAAAUUAGCCCUUUUUAAUUGCGAUUUUUUAACGCUAGAAGGCAUGACCAAUGAACUGGAAACGGUUCUUAUGAUUGCUGAUAAUGGCUCAAGGAAUAUCAAGAAGAAAGUAAGCUUUUAUAAUAAAAAUCACAAAGAGAAAUCUUUAAGACUUUGAUCUCAAAUCAGAUAAGACUACCCGCUGAACUUAA